rnacentral:miRNA from 1 species
UCUUUGGUUUUCUUUAGCUGUGUGA